GAUGAACGCUAGCUACAGGCUUAACACAUGCAAGUCGAGGGGUAACGAGAGGAAAGCUUGCUUUCCUUGUCGACGACCGGCGCACGGGUGAGUAGCGCGUAUCCAACCUGCCCCCAACUAGGGAAUAACCUUGCGAAAGUAAGACUAUUACCCUAUAAUUUCCUCAGAUGACAUCUGACGAGGAAUAAAGAUUUAUCGGUUGUGGAUGGGGAUGCGUCUGAUUAGCUUGUUGGCGGGGUAACGGCCCACCAAGGCAACGAUCAGUAGGGGUUCUGAGAGGAAGGUCCCCCACAUUGGAACUGAGACACGGUCCAAACUCCUACGGGAGGCAGCAGUGAGGAAUAUUGGUCAAUGGGCGGAAGCCUGAACCAGCCAAGUAGCGUGCAGGAUGACGGCCCUAUGGGUUGUAAACUGCUUUUAUACAGGAAUAAAGUUAGCCACGUGUGGUUAUUUGUAGGUACUGUAUGAAUAAGGACCGGCUAAUUCCGUGCCAGCCGCCGCGGUAA
rnacentral:rRNA from 1 species